rnacentral:rRNA from 1 species
UACGUAGGGCGCAAGCGUUGUCCGGAAUUAUUGGGCGUAAAGAGCUCGUAGGCGGCCUGUUACGUCUGCUGUGAAAUCCCGGGGCUUAACCCCGGGCGUGCAGUGGAUACGGGCAGGCUGGAGGCAGGCAGGGGAGAACGGAAUUCCCGGUGUAGCGGUGAAAUGCGCAGAUAUCGGGAGGAACACCGGUGGCGAAGGCGGUUCUCUGGGCCUGUACUGACGCUGAGGAGCGAAAGCGUGGGGAGCGAGCAGG